GUUUUCCUGGCAGCUGUUUUUCCAAACUAACCUCCUGCUCUCCUCUGAUUUCUAGCACACGCAUCCUAUUUUGUAGGAGGAAGAAACUGUUAGAAGUAAGAGAGUGGUGGUGGUUGGAUCGGGAGAGAAGGGCUGACACAAAAUGGCCCUUCUAGAAGGAGCUUUAUUGGGAGAAAAGACAUGAUGACCGUGGGAAUCAUGAUUGAACUUUAAGGUGGGAGAGCUGACAAAGGGGUCAGGGGCAACAUGGUGGGCUUUAAAGGGAGAGAGAGGUUUUCCUAUAAAACUUGGAGAGGAAUGUAAUUAAGAGGAAUAGCUUAAAGUAAGAGUGUGUGUGUGUAUAUAAGAGAGAGAGAAAGAGAGAGAGAGAGAGAGAAUCACACACAGAGAGACAAAGAUAGAGACAGAGACAGAAAGAGACAGAGCAUGCUGCCACUCGCAGGAUGAUGGUGAGAGCAUGCAGAGAAAGCUUCAACCCACAGGAUGAUGGUUUUCAAAUAAAGGAAGAUAUCUGACUUUUAAAUCCAUCUGUGGGGUGGUGAGAAGCCCCUACCAUGUGAUUCAGUUCGGAUCACCUGCUGUGAAGAGAAGUGUGGAAGAGCCAGAGUCUGCGCCAAAGCCAACACUUCUAAAACAAAACCAGAAACAAGGCGGAAAACAGCAGACUGGAUUGCGAAGUCAGCAGCUCAUGGUGCCAUGUUGGCAUCGGCAGCUUUUGGCAUUCAGAACCUUGGCACUUGGAUUUGGUGGCAAUUCAGACAAAUGUGUAGUUGGCUUGCGUGGGAAAUGCAGCUGGGCAGAGGAGAGCCCAAUAAUCCACCCUGAAGACAUGAAGGAAUAGGUGUCAGCCUGGCAGAGGGACUGUCCCAGAGAGGGAUGCUCAGAGGCUGGGGAGAUGGUUUAGUGGGUAAAAGGCUAUGUUCUGAUCCCCAGAGCCCAUGUCGGAAGUCAGGCAUGAUGGUUCACAUCUGUAAUCCUAUGUUCAGGAUGGAGAAAGCAGACAGGUGAAUUGAAGGCUUAUUGGCCAGCUAGUCUGGCUGGACAGCAAGCUCCAGCUUCUGCAAGAGGUCCUAUCUGGAAAACUAAAGUGGAAGAGACAGUGGCUCAGUGGUUAGGAACGUGCAGUUGCUGCUCUUGGAGGACCCAAGUUUAGAUCCAGCAAUUAUGUUGGGUGCCUGAAAUUCUAGUUUCAUGGGAUCUGAUGCUCUCCUCUGGCCCCCGCGAUCACUCUCACAGGUGUGGCAGAUGCAUAGACAUACACUCAUAUACAUAAGCCAAAAUAAUACAUCUUGAAAGAAUCAAAGUGGAGAGAAAUAGAAGGCACUUGAUGUUGAUUCUGGCCUCCAUGUGUGCACAUUCACAGUACAUACCCGGCAAUGUGAUCAAAGCGGAGGGAGGGAGGAACAGGAGGGGAGAGGGAGAGGGGGAGGGGGGAAGGAGAGGGAGAGGGAGACCAGAGCUUAGAGGGAUAAUUUAAGGGUUUCUUCAAGCAACUCUAAAAAUAAUUCCAUUCAAUUUCACAAACAGGUAAGAACCAAGCCCAUUCAGACAUCCUGGCUCUGAUGGACCUGUUCUUUGGUUCUGGAAUUGCUUGCUCCCUGGACAAGGGGAAAAUGGAAAGGUUGCUUUUAAUGUGAAAGGGCCAAGCAGACAGCAAAUGUGAGUGCCUUUUAAGCUCUAAGAGCCCUAUGAAGAAC
rnacentral:lncRNA from 1 species